CGUGUUCACAGAAACAGUUCCGAAAAUCUUUUAUAAAAUUCGUCCAACCUAGCGGUUUCUACGAAUGAAACGUGUAGAAACCGUUCCGCUAUUCCCUCUUCUUUUCUGAAGACUUGCACAGACGGUUUUCACGAACUGAUCAUCUGAAAAUUCUCAUUCUCAAACUUUAUAUUCUGCUAUUUUCUCCUUUCGUUUCACAACCAUUCAAAAAACUCUGUAAACCUUCUCUGUUAAAGUUCUUCAAGUAUUCAAGUUUUAGUUGCUGCCAAGAAAUCAAGAAUUCUUGUAAGAUUAAAUUCUAACUUUAUUUAGUUUGUGAGUUUUCUCGGAUUUAGU
rnacentral:lncRNA from 1 species